AAUUUCGACCGGUAAAUCUGGUUUACCGGAAAAUUUACCGUUACCGGUAGUGUCCGAGAAACGGAUUUCGGUGAUAUUUCGUAUUUACCGGUUUCAAAUUUGAAAAUUUCAAAAAAAUUUAUAUAAAAUAGGGUAAAAAUCUGAUAAAAAACUAGACAUUUUUAUGAGCAUUUUGGACUAACAUUUUUUGAAAUCUAACCUCAUAUGUUGUGUAAAAAAAAUAGACUCAUACGACGGUGAGGAUGAUGGUAGCUCUACCUCUGUCAGUUCCACCUACAGCUACCCGUCGGCACCCACCUUUGUGUGCCCACCACAACCACAUCCGAUGGCUGUCCCUCCGCGUCCUCUAUAUGGAUAUCCUCAUAUGUACUAUCAAGGAUACCUCCCAUAUGGAUUUCCUCACAUGUACUAUCAGAAAUAUCCCCCAGAGUAAGAUCACAGAGAUGACGAAUGAGUACCCAUGUAUGUAGGAUUCGACGUUACAAUGUGAGUCAUCAACAAUUUCCGGUCGGUCGUAAGGUUUUCCUGUUGGAAAACACCGAAAUAAAAAUUUUAGAGUAUAUUUUGUGUUAACUAUUUGAGACUUGUAUUAUUUGAACCUAUAAAUUGUGUUAACAAGUUGAACC